UUUGAGAUUGUGUUUUAACUCACACAGCAAUAAUCAACAUUUUUGUUUUUUUUUUUCAGAAGAAAACACUGACCAGUGGGUCGUUGCACGUGUCCACUAGUACUGAGGCAGGCUCUGGUUCUGCUGGAGGUUUCUUCCUGUUAAAGGGGAGAUUUUCCUCUCCACUGUCGCUACAUGCAGCUCUGUACGAGGGACUGCUGUAGAGUCAACAAAACAACGAGAGCAAUUGUAUUUAAGGGCUUAUCCAGAAGGAGUGACUCAAUGCCAUCAGAUCAAAACACAGAUAGGGAGGAGCUAUUGGCAAAGCGUCUUGGAAAUGACGAGAAUGCCCUUUUCACAAGGCCUGAAACCUCAACAAGUCAUAAACACGAUCCAGUGGAGAAUGGGAGCUGAUCCUGACAGCUUUGGACCUCUCUGUUAACGCUGGGAGCCUCAGCAGUACCUGACUUAUGACUCCUCAUGUUAACAUAAAGACCUGAUCCUGUCUGAACAUCUUCCAGUGAGGGAAACCGGCCCUCCCCCCCGCUCGCCCCCCAAGAACUGACUGAUAUUUGGAUCUGUUCAAACUCUAAUCUGUCCACAGCAUGAAGCUGCCAAAACCAAGUUUCCCUGGACAAAACAUGUAUGUAUAACAAUGGGGAAUUUGUUUGUGCCUUUCUUCUGACUGAUACCUUUGUGCACUGAAGUCAUUUUCAUCCUUUGCAACCUCUCUGGAAACCACGGCUUCAGAUAAAGGACGCAAAUGAGCAAACAUAAAGGAAAUCCCACCAGGACUGCUUUAGCACACUUCAAGUUUAUCCGAUUCGCUAUAACUGAUGGCAGGUGUGAGCUUAAGAAGACUGAAUGUAGAAAAGUUGGGAGGUGCUGCAAGAAAAAUGAUUAGUUUAAGUGUGCGUGCCUUUAUGAGACCCAGGAUAUUGCAGUUUUUAAACGAUUUCCUCUUAUAAAUGUGUUUUCAGUUGAAUAUGCCACAUAAAGCUUGAAAAGAUUGAUCAAAGUUUCACUUUUUUUUGCAUCACGACAAUCUGGCAGAGGCGUGUCAUGGUGUAAUGCUCCGUACAACCAUAUAAUGCUUUGUUUCUGCAUGAAAAUGACAUGCAUACAUAAAAAAUACGGCUCCAGGGAAACAGUCAGUGGAUAACAUAUUGUUGGUGACUUGUGAGCAGUGACCAGGUCUGCAGUAAUGAGUGUCUCCGGUAAUGAUUGCCCACAUCCCACACAGCCGGCCUCUUCGUGCGUUCAGCCGUUUUACUCGGAGUCGCACUGCUCCACUUUUCCACCAGGCUGUGGAGUCAAACCACAGUUAGACUUAUUAUUUAUGGAUGAUGGCACUUUAUCAGAUCCUCUGUGUGUCAUCACGGGGAAAACACAGCAACAAAGGGGUGUGGGAAAUGCGCACUUUUGACUUUUCUUCCACGCGGAGUUACAGAACGGGUUUCCUUUCAUGUCCGUUUUCCUGGUUCUGGUGGGAAUAUUGGGAGGAUCUGGUGAGAAAUAAAUCCUCCAAUUUAUGACAAAUCGCUCUGAGUAGGAACAGAAUGUAAAAUUAUAUAUUUCUGACCUCGAUAUGUUUCUAUUUUAUUUUAUUUUAUUUUUUCCUCCUCCUGAAAUUUAAAAUAGAUGACAAGGAGUUAGUGUAAAAAGUUUCAGCCUAAAUUGCAACCUUUGUGACGUUUGCUUUGAGGCGGCGGAUGACCUGUCUCAGCUUUGACACCGCGCGUCUCAGUUGUGUCAGAUUGGCGGGUCAAGGGCAGCGAGUGAGAUAAUUAUGAUUGCGGAACAAGGUGGUGACAGAGGCAGAAAUAAAUGGUCGGACUUGUUUUCUUGUUCUCUGAACUAAGGCUCUUGGGAAGGCUAAUUAGUGAAGGUACAUUAACCAUGCCUUGCGUCAGCUUCCCUUCCACCUCAUGUGAAAUAAAAGAAGUCUGUCUCGGUGUUUACAGUGCCACGAACAAGUAUUUCCUCUUCACAGAUUUCUUCUGCUUUUACAUUUUGCCAUAUCUAAAAUGUUUAAU